UACAGAGGGGGCAAGCGUUAUUCGGAAUUAUUGGGCGUAAAGGGCGCGUAGGCGGCCGCGCGGGUGGAAGGUGAAAUCCCUCGGCUCAACCGAGGAACUGCCUUUCAAACUGCGUGGCUUGAGUCCGGGAGAGGCGAGUGGAAUUCCCAGUGUAGCGGUGAAAUGCGUAGAUAUUGGGAGGAACACCAGUGGCGAAGGCGGCUCGCUGGACCGGAACUGACGCUGAGGCGCGAAAGCGUGGGGAGCAAACAGG
rnacentral:misc_RNA from 1 species